rnacentral:rRNA from 1 species
UCCCAGACUCCUACGGGAGGCAGCAGUGAGGAAUAUUGGUCAAUGGGCGGGAGCCUGAACCAGCCAAGCCGCGUGAAGGAAGAAGGCGCCAGGCGUCGUAAACUUCUUUUGUCGGGGAACAAAGGGCGCCACGCGUGGCGUUGUGAGUGUACCCGAAGAAAAAGCAUCGGCUAACUCCGUGCCAGCAGCCGCGGUAAUACGGAGGAUGCGAGCGUUAUCCGGAUUUAUUGGGUUUAAAGGGUGCGUAGGCGGUCCGGAAAGUCAGCGGUAAAAGCCCGGGGCUCAACCCGGGCGAGCCGUUGAAGCUGUCGGACUAGAGACGGCGAGAAGUACGCGGAAUGCGCGGUGUAGCGGUGAAAUGCAUAGAUAUCACGCAGAACUCCGAUUGCGAAGGCAGCAUACCGGCGCCCAACUGACGCUGAAGCACGAAAGCGUGGGUAUCGAACAGGAUUAGAUACCCGGGUAGA